CACGGGGGCAACCCCGGUGGCGAGUGGCGAACGGGUGAGUAAUACAUCGGAACGUGUCCUGUAGUGGGGGAUAGCCCGGCGAAAGCCGGAUUAAUACCGCAUACGAUCUACGGAAGAAAGCGGGGGAUCUUCGGACCUCGCGCUAUAGGGGCGGCCGAUGGCAGAUUAGCUAGUUGGUGGGGUAAAGGCCUACCAAGGCGACGAUCUGUAGCUGGUCUGAGAGGACGACCAGCCACACUGGGACUGAGACACGGCCCAGACUCCUACGGGAGGCAGCAGUGGGGAAUUUUGGACAAUGGGGGCAACCCUGAUCCAGCAAUGCCGCGUGUGUGAAGAAGGCCUUCGGG
rnacentral:rRNA from 1 species